CAGUCGCCACGGGAAUACGUAGGUGGCAAGCGUUGUCCGGAAUUAUUGGGUGUAAAGGGCUCGCAGGCGGUUUCUUAAGUCUGAUGUGAAAGCCCCCGGCUCAACCGGGGAGGGUCAUUGGAAACUGGGAAACUUGAGUGCAGAAGAGGAGAGUGGAAUUCCACGUGUAGCGGUGAAAUGCGUAGAGAUGUGGAGGAACACCAGUGGCGAAGGCGACUCUCUGGUCUGUAACUGACGCUGAGGAGCGAAAGCGUGGGGAGCGAACAGGAUUAGAUACCCCAGUAGUCCCUGUCUCUUAUAC
rnacentral:rRNA from 1 species